UACGUAGGGUGCGAGCGUUGCUCGGAUUUAUUGGGCGUAAAGGGCGCGCAGGCGGCCCGGUGCGUCGGUUGUGAAAGCUCCUGGCUCAACUGGGAGGGGACGACCGAGACGGCCGGGCUGGAGCAAGGUAGGGGAGAGUGGAAUUCCCGGUGUAGUGGUGGAAUGCGUAGAUAUCGGGAGGAACACCAGUGGCGAAGGCGGCUCUCUGGACCUGUGCUGACGCUGAGGCGCGAAAGCGUGGGGAGCGAUCCG
rnacentral:rRNA from 1 species